rnacentral:lncRNA from 1 species
ACUGGAGGGGUGUAUAGAGGAGAGUCUCCAUCUACCAUGUACUGGAGGGGGGUAUAGAGGAUAGCCUCCAUCUUACCAUGUACUGGAGGGGGGUAUAGAGGAUAGUCCUCCAUCUACCAUGUACUGGAGGGGUUAUAGAGGAUAGUCCUCCACCUUACCAUGUACUGGAGGAGGUAUUUAGGAUAGGCCUCCAUCUUCCAUGUACUGGAGGGGUUAUAGAGGAUGUCCUCCAUCUUACCAUGUACUGGAGGGGGGUAUAGAGGAUAGUCCUCCAUCUUACCAUGUACUGGAGGAGGGUAUAGAGCAUAGUCCUCCAUCUUACCAUGUACUGGAGGGGGUUAGAGAGGAUAGUCCUCCAUCUUACCAUGUAUGGAGGGGGUUAGAGAGGAUAGUCCUCCAUUUUCUGAAACUGUUGAUCUGCAAGACACCUAUAAACCACAACAUAGAGAUAAAGAACACAGUCAACAGAGACAGACAGACACUUGUCUACUUUACAUUGUAGAGAAUAUAAACAUUUGAAACUAGAGAGGCUAUUUUCAGGAAAGGCUGUUGGCCGAAGGAUGAACGUUAAUGUCCCGGCCCGAGGGGUGAACGUUAAUGUCCUGGGCCCGAGGGAUGAAACGUUAAUGCCUGGGCCCGAGGGAUGAACGUUAAUGUCCGGGCCCGAGGGAUGAACGUUAAUGUCCCGGGCCCGAGGAUGAACGUUAAUGUCCCUGGGCCCGAGGGAUGAACGAUAAUGUCCUGGGCCGAGGGAUGACGUAAUGCCUGGCCCGAGGGGGAUGAACGUUAAUGUCCUGGGCCCGAGGGGAUGAACGUUAAUGUCCGGGCCGAGGGGAUGAAAGUUAAUGUCCUGGGCCGAGGGAUGAACGUUAAUGUCCUGGGCCCGAGGGAUAACGUUAAUGUCCUGGCCGAGGAUGACGUUAAUGCCUGGGCCGAGGGAUGAACGUUAAUGUCCUGGGCCCGAGGGAUGAACGUUAAUGCCUGGGCCCCGAGGGGAAAUUUGCUUAGGCCGGGAUUCAUCCGAUCGCACAUUUCAGUUUUAAAAGGAAUGUUUCUGUGUUUCACAUUCAAAGUAACGCUGCGUAUGUCAGCUUAAUCGGCGUAAGCGGCUCUAACACAUAUCUACAGCCGAUCGGAUUGAAUCUGGGCCUGCUGUUAAUAACCAGUGUACUGAUGACGUAAACGUCUACCUGGCUGUUCCAGUCAGACUGUUCUUGAAGAGCAGACCAUGCUAACUGAGCAGUUGUGUUGUGGCCUGUUUGGCGGUCUUACCCAACCAUUGGGUAUUCUACUCUGGUUCAAUCAAUACUUUAUAAACAAAUCUGUGUGGGACAAAAUAGGUCAAUUUUUUUUCAGUGACAUUUAAUGACAGUUGGUUGAUCUUCUCAUUUGUCUGUAGACUCACUGAGGGUCGUGUGACGGUCCGCUCUUCUCCACAGUUUAAAGUCAGGAACCGUUGGUUUUCUGACAGUAGUGGUUGAAG